rnacentral:rRNA from 1 species
ACGGCUCAGUAACACGUGGCUAACCUACCCUCAGGACGGGGAUAAACCCGGGAAACUGGGGCUAAUAUCCGAUAAGUGAGGAUGCCUGGAAUGGUUUCUCACUCAAAGGGCUUUGGAAACAUGCUUCCAUUGUCGCCUGGGGAUGGGGCCGCGACCGAUCAGGUAGUUGGUGAGGUAAUGGCUCACCAAGCCUAUAACCGGUACGGGCCGUGAGAGCGGUAGCCCGGAGAUGGGUACUGAGACAAGGACCCAGGCCCUACGGGGCGCAGCAGUCGCGAAAACUCCGCAAUGCACGAAAGUGUGACGGGGCUACCCCGAGUGCCAUCCGCUGAGGAUGGCUUUUCCUUGGUAUAACUAGCCAGGGGAAUAAGGAGAGGGCAAGACUGGUGUCAGCCGCCGCGGUAAUACCAGCUCUCCGAGUGGUAGGGAUGAUUAUUGGGCUUAAAGCGUCCGUAGCCGGCUUAGCAAGUCUCCUGUUAAAUUCAGCGACCUAAUCGUUGAGCCGCGGGAGAUACUACUAGGCUAGGAGGCGGGAGAGGUCGACGGUACUUCUGGGGUAGGGGUGAAAUCCUAUAAUCCCGGGAGGACCACCAGUGGCGAAGGCUGUCGACUAGAACGCGCUCGACGGUGAGGGACGAAAGCUGGGGGAGCGAACCGGAUUAGAUACCCGGGUAGUCCCAGCCGUAAACGAUGCGGGCUAGGUGUUGGGGUGGCUACGUGCCACUUCAGUGCCGCAGGGAAGCCAUUAAGCCCGCCGC